rnacentral:rRNA from 1 species
UACGUAGGUGGCAAGCGUUGUUCGGAAUUAUUGGGCGUAAAGGGCGCGUAGGCGGCUUGUUAAGUCGGCUGUGAAAGCCCGGGGCUCAACCCCGGAGGGUCAGCCGAUACUGGCAGGCUAGAGUACGGAAGAGGUAGCUGGAAUUCCCGGUGUAGCGGUGAAAUGCGUAGAUAUCAGGAGGAACACCUAUUGCGAAGGCAGCUCGCUGGGACGUAACUGACGCUGAGACGCGAAAGCGUGGGGAGCAAACAGG